GAACAGUAUAAAAUAGUAUACGCGUUUUCUCUUUUUAGGUUAUAAAUAGCAGAAGCAUUUGCUAAGUUAAGGCAAGACUUUCUACACGGAAAAAAAGCCUGCUUGUACACAAUAAAAUUUUCUCUCAUAUAAUCAAUAAAGAUAUUCAGUUUUACACUAAGCUAUGGAUGAACAAAGCACAGAUUUGUCAAAUCUACCAGAACAGGUGAAGAAGUUGAUCAUCUUCUACUACAUCGCAAUUUGACUUCAAGACUGUGGUGGGAUAUGUUUAGCUGAUUUGGUAUGUCUUGGGUGAUGUCUAGAUCUGUGAAGGAUACGUUAGUCUUGCUGGAAAUCUGGAAGAAGCAGGAGAAAGUGCAAAGCUUGGAAUGUUGUCCCUUUAGCUUUGAUGUGGAUUGUUUGGAGUGAGAGAAAUAGGAGGGCUUUUGAAGGGGUAGAAAAAUGACUUUUGGGUAGUUGAGGAGUAGCCUCCGGUCCCUUAUUAAAUUUUGCUGCACCCAUGUAGUGUCGGGUUGUAUAGAGGAUUGGGUGUCUUUUGUAGAGAACGAUGUCAUGUGGUAGGUUCUUUACUUUUUGGUAUAUAUCUUGUAUACAGCUGUUUUGGCCCUGUGAUUAAUGAAACUAUUAAUCUGAUCUAAAAAAAGACUGAAUUUUGUAGUCC